UGAUCCCCCUCCAGGCCAUGGGACUGCCGAGUUGCUGCAGGCAGUAAGCUUCGAUACCAGUUUUUGGGAUCAUGGCAGAGCAGUCUGCGAUACUGUCCCUCUGCCAGUCUUUGGGAAACGCUUGUCUGCCUCAUCUCCUUAUCUCAGAGCGCUUCUUGGAGAGUAAUAUUUGUGAAAUGUUGUGUCUUGGCCGUUUUUGUUUUUGUUUUUGCACAGACAGCCAAGGUGCAGCAAUUCCUAGGUUGUUGGCUGGGCUCUUUCAUCACUCACUGAUCUUUCUCUCUGCAUAUUGGCAGCCAGCUGGGACUCUGAAGGGCAUUAGAUCUUUGAAUAUUUUCCCGAUAAUUGUAAAAUGCAUAGUCUCCUUUGUGCAUUUUCUCUUAUUAAAUGUUUAGAAUAGUACCUGACCGCCGUUGUCACCUAGACAUAUUUUAUGGAAUCACUGCUGAAAGUUCUCCCAUGGAAGCCAGCCUCUCUUCUCUCUCUCAUGGUGUCCGUGUUCAGCGCCAUCGCCUGGCAGGCUGCAGCCAGGUCAUGGCCAUCCCAUCUCAGGAAACCGUACACUCACAGCCAGGAUGGAACACAGACUUCAUAAACCUAAGCACAGUGGCUUAUUACUAUUAUUACAUUUUUACCUCUUUCCACUAAUUAGUAUGGUAAAAGGAAGUGAUUUGCCCAAAUUCAUACAGUUAAUCUGUGCUAAAGCCUCUUUAGAAGAGAGGACUCCUAGGCAGUGAGUGAUUCUGGAUGUCAUUAAGAACUUUUGUGUUCCCAUGGCAUGCAGCCGGUUUAGGUAGCAUUGCCCCAACAGAUUUCUGUCACGAUGGAGGCUCUCGAAUUGGUCCUUAAAGCACUUGAGGACAUGAUAGUUACUUUUGAAUCAUCAAAGCAUGACCAGAGGAUGUUCAGCCUGGAGCAGAGUAGUCUCUGUCGCUGUCGAGGGUGCCAGGCUGCUGCGCCGUGGUUGUCUGUAGGUAGCAGAGUGUCCUCCAGUGUUUUCAGCUGACCUCCUCUUGUGGGUAAGUGAUAAUUUCCUUGUCAGCAGAUCGUUCCUGUUCUGUAUCGCUCCUCUUAGGUCAGGGUGCUCUAGGAAACUUAGUCCAAGUCUUUUCUGCUCAAAAAAGAGAGAGAGACUUGUUUUUCUUAGUGUUCUCUUCCCCCGCCCUUGCCUUUGUACUGAGUGCCAGAUCUGUGCUUAUUCUUUGAAAGCCAGAGUCUACUUGGUGCUACAGCAUUGUAUCAUUUAAACGUCACUUAGUCCCAGCUGUGCCAUCAGAGAUGUGAAAACUGAGCCCCAGAGGACUUUUGCCCAGCUAUAACUUACCCUUUGUGGUCUGUAGCAGGGGAUUGCAACAGCCUUGAAACUGAAGGCAGAGAGAUGAGGGAUGGGGAUGCUUUGAACUGAACAAAGCAGCAGCGUGUAUGUGGUUGUCAUAGUGAUCACUUGUUCAGUGCCUGGCUCAUUCUCUGUCUCUGUGUUAAGUGCAAGGAAGAGUUGCCCUGUGAGUGACAGGUGUGGACGUGGGGAGACCAGGUAGGGAGAUCUUGUAGGUGACUGGUGUGGGCGUGGGGAGACCAGGUAGAGAGAUCUCGUAGGUGACAGGUGUGGGCGGACCAGGUAGGGAGAUCUCGUAGGUGACAGGUGUGGGUGUGGGGAGACCAGGUAGGGAGAUCUCGUAGGUGACAGGUGUGGACGUGGGGAGACCAGGUAGAGAGAUCUCGUAGGUGACAGGUGUGGACGUGGGGGGACCAGGUAGAGUGACUCAGGGCAUUUCAUGAGUGCUCAGUGUGUGGAGGCACAUUUGAAAACAGACUCAGCAUGUGUGCCUGUAGGAAUGGCAUUUCUAGGUUCUGACGUGGCCACAGGCUGGGCUUGUCAUCCUCAGGGUUCUCCCAGAGGCAACUCCCAUCCACACCCAGUUGAAUCCCAGGAUUUGGAGCACCCAGAGCCCUGAGAGAAGUGAAGGCCCCACUGUCUUUGCCCAAGGGAAUGGGGUCUUUCUGUUGGGAUCUGGAGAAGCUUCACAAUUCUGUCCUCAGUUCAGCAAAGAGUCGCUGAGCUUCAGGUGCUGUGCUAGGUAAUAGGGCUGGGAGCAAGCAUGUCACAGACACUCCUGGCCUCCAAGCCAGGCCAAAGACGCCAACAGCAAAGGCGUCCUGCCCUUGGCCAUUCCUCAGUGUUCUCUUCAUGUUGGGCUUUUUCUGAAUUCAGAAGUGGCUUUUUUUUUUAAGAUUUAUUUAUUUUGAUGAUUUUUCACAUAGUUAAUCAGGGU